rnacentral:rRNA from 1 species
AUUGAACGCUGGCGGCAGGCCUAACACAUGCAAGUCGAGCGGAGCGGCGGACGGGUGAGUAAUGCCUAGGAAUAUGCAUGGGAGGGGGGGAGAACGUCCGGAAAUGGGCGCUCAUACAGCAUACUAUCAGAUUAGCCUAGGUCGGAAUCGCGAGUUGGUGUGGUAAAGGCCUACAAAGGCGACGAUCCGUAACUGGUCUGAGAGGGUGAUCAGUCACACUGGAACGGAGACACGGUCCAGACUCCUACGUGAGGCAGCAGUGGGGAAUAUUUGACAAUGGGCGAAAGCCUGAUCCAGCCAUGCCGCGUGUGUGAAGAAGGUCUUCGGAUUUUAAAGCACUUUAAGUUGGGAGGCGUUACCAACAGAAUAAGCACCGGCUAACUUCGUGCCAGCAGCCGCGGUAAUAC